UCUGUCGCUUGGGUCGCAUAGAGCAUGGCUUUGCCGCCUUCGGCCUCAUCCUUAAGACGGGCUGGAGGGUGAAUGAGGUAGUCAUCAAUCAACUGCUCAAUGGCCUUUGUGAUGCCAAGAGGGUGGAUGAGGCCAUGGACAUAUUGCUCCGAAGAAUGCCUGAGUUUGGCUGCAUGCCGAAUGUAGUUUCCUGCAACACACUUCUCAAGGGUUUAUGCAAUGAAAAGAGAGUUGAGGAGGCACUUGAGCUUCUGCACACGAUGGCUGAGGAUGGAGGUGGAAACUGCACACCAAAUGUUGUGACAUACAACACGAUCAUCGAUGGCUUGUGCAAAGCUCAGGCAGUUGACAGGGCCGAGGGUGUCCUUCAGCACAUGAUUGAUAAAGGUGUUAAGCUGGAUGUUGUGACAUACAGCACGAUCAUCGAUGGCUUGUGCAAAGCUCAGGCAGUUGACAGGGCCGAGGGUGUCCUUCAGCACAUGAUUGAUAAAGGUGUUAAACCGGAUGUUGUGACAUACAACACGAUCAUCGAUGGCUUGUGCAAAGCUCAGGCAGUUGACAGGGCCGAGGGUGUCCUUCAGCACAUGAUUGAUAAAGGUGUUAAGCCGGAUGUUGUGACAUACAACACGAUCAUCGAUGGCUUGUGCAAAGCUCAGGCAGUUGACAGGGCCGACGGUGUCCUUCAGCACAUGAUUGAUAAAGAUGUUAAGCCGGACAUCCAGACAUACAACUGUCUAAUCCAUGGAUACCUCUCUACAGGAGAGUGGAAAGAGGUCGUUCGAAGGCUUGAAGAAAUGUACGCACGUGGUCUUGACCCAGAUGUUGUUACUUAUAGUUUGCUACUGGACUAUCUCUGCAAGAAUGGAAAAUGCACAGAAGCCAGAAAGAUUUUUUAUUGCAUGAUUAGGAAGGGCAUAAAACCUAAUGUAACUAUCUACGGCAUUCUUCUUCACGGGUAUGCUGCUAGAGGAGCCAUUGCUGAUUUGACUGAUCUCCUAGAUUUGAUGGUGGCAAAUGGUAUUUCACCUAAUAAUUACAUCUUCAACAUAGUGUUGUGUGCAUACGCUAAAAAGGCAAUGAUAGAUGAGGCAAUGCAUAUAUUUAGCCGAAUGAGUCAGCAUGGAUUGAGUCCUGAUGUAGUCACUUAUGGAAUAUUAAUAGAUGCACUUUGCAAGUUGGGAAGAGUGGAUGAUGCUGUGCUUAAAUUCAAUCAGAUGAUCAACGAUGGGGUGACUCCUAACAGUGUUGUUUUUAACUCCCUGGUUUAUGGACUUUGUACUGUUGACAGAUGGGAGAAGGCAGAGGAAUUAUUUUUUGAAAUGUGGGAUCAAGGAGUCCGUCCUAACGUCGUGUUCUUCAACACCAUCAUGUGUAACUUAUGCAAUGAAGGACAGGUUAUGGUAGCCCAGAGGCUCAUUGACUCAAUGGAACGUGUAGGUGUGAGGCCUAAUGUUAUCUCAUAUAAUACAUUAAUAGGUGGCCACUGCUUAGCUGGUAGAACUGAUGAAGCGGCACAGUUACUUGAUGUUAUGGUCUCAGUUGGCUUGAAACCUGACUUAAUCUCUUAUGAUACAUUACUUCGUGGCUACUGUAAAACUGGAAGGAUAGACAAUGCAUAUUGUCUUUUCCGAGAAAUGUUGAGGAAGGGAGUUACUCCUGGUGCUGUGACUUACAGUACUAUACUGCAAGGUUUAUUUCACACAAGGAGAUUUUCUGAAGCAAAGGAACUCUACCUCAAUAUGAUUAAAAGUGGACAACAGUGGGACAUUUACACAUAUAACAUAAUUCUAAAUGGGCUUUGCAAAACCAACUGUGUUGAUGAAGCGUUCAAAAUUUUCCAGAGUCUGUGUUCUAAGGAUCUUCGACCUAACAUCAUUACUUUCACCAUUAUGAUUGAUGUUUUGUUCAAAGGCGGCAGAAAGAAAGAUGCCAUGGAUUUGUUUGCUUCUAUCCCUUCCCAUGGUUUAGUUCCGAAUGUGGUAACCUAUUGCAUAAUGAUGAAAAAUAUCAUACAAGAAGGUCUGCUAGAUGAGUUUGACAAUCUAUUUUUAGCAAUGGAGAAGAGUGGAUGCACUCCAGAUUCAGUCAUGCUAAAUGCUAUAAUUAGGAGCCUAUUGGGUAGAGGUGAGAUAAUGAGGGCUGGGGCUUACCUCUCCAAGAUUGAUGAGAUGAACUUCUCACUUGAGGCUUCCACUACUUCCUUGCUAAUAUCACUUUUCUCGAGGGAGGAAUAUAAGAACCAUGCAAAGUCCCUACCUGAAAAGUACCUUUUUCUUGAGGAGGUCAACUAAUGAGGAUUAUGUCAAACAAAAUAAAUCAUCAGCUGAGUGGUCUAUGUCUAUAAAGAGAGGUCAAGCAUUGGAAGUCCCAUCAUGACCUUCAUUUAUGGUGUCAACACUUCUAACCUUCCUGGUUAUCUGAUUCUGAUCUGAAGCAGUUUGGUUUGAUGAAUUGCAUCUCGAGGCUGGAGCGGAGGUUCUAGCAAAGGCCUGAGUGUUUAACAUUAUUUUUUGUGCAUGACCUUCAAACAAUAGCAUACAAAGCCAUCUUCCAACUGUCAGAUCAUUGCUUAGUAGAACUCCCGGUUCACUGCAUCAUUUCCAACUAUCACUAUUCUAACACUCCUUAAAAGUUUUAAAUAGAAUUUUGAGGCACUUUGGGGAUCCCCCCCACAGUCUUUUUCGUAAAAAAAAAAACAUCAACAAGAGAAUGAAAUCUAGAGGCCCGGUAGUACCAUUAGUAGUAAUACAUUACUAGUGUCACCUAAGAUAUGAUAUAUUUGUAGUACUUAGUCGAAAGUACUCUGCUUUCUAUAAGAAGGCUUCCUGAAACUUUAGUUGAAAGUACCCUGUAUCAAGUAUGAACCAUGACUAUUAUUAGUGUCACCUAAGAUAUUAAUUGUAUUUUCAUAGUAUAUCAGUUUGAUGUCAUAAAUAUUUGUUUCUCUCUAUAAUUUUGGUCAAAUCCGAGAUGCUUUGACUCUCCAAGAUUCUAGAAUGUCUUAUAAUUUGAAAUGGAGGGAGUAUUAUUUUGGUCCCCUUUGCUCUCUUCUUCUUUUUUUUUUUUGAAUUUUUAUCCACUGUGUAGCUAGUAUGUAAAUUUGUUGAGUGUCUAUUCAGUUCCUCGCGUGCUGUAAUGUUUUGCAACCGUGCUGUAUGGGAUGAUUUGAGUGAUGAAUGAAAUUCUGUAGAGAAAGAGAAACGUUCUCUAGUUGGGGAAUUUCGUAUGUGCAACUCUUAUCUUUUCCCCACUUGAUUAUUUUUCCCCCCUUUGAUUUGAUUGACUGAUUUUUGAUAAUAAGGAAAUAGAUCAACCUUUUUAAACUUUAUGGGCUGUCAAAUGUUCCGAAAGGAAAAAAAAAAUCUUCCUGGGCCGGAGUGCUUUUGAGACCAAUGUCCACACCACACGGCCCACCCCACAGAAACCCUUACCUGAGGGAACAAAAGAGGCCGCCGCCCCACAGUACCCGCGCGCUCCGACGGUCGGAGUCCGGCCACCGCCCUUCCACCUCCGCGUACGACCUCCCCCUCCCCUCUCCCUCGCAGUCGCAGUCGCAAAUUUGGCCGGCCGCCAGCCAGCCACCGGCCUCCACUGCGGCGCCCUGUACACCUCAUUGAUGGGUCGCAAAAUCAAGAGGAAGGCCGGAGUCAAGAAGCAGGCCAAGAGGAUUGCACCUUCCUCGUCAUCGUCUAACCCUGCGGUUGCCUCUGGUCCGGCUAAGGUCUGGCAACCGGGUGUGGAUGCACUGGAAGAUGGAGAGGAGCUCCACUUUGAUCCUGAGGCUUACAAUUAUCUCUGAGGGUUCGGCAUUGGCUGGUCUUGCUUGAGUUUUGAUGUUGUGCACGAUCAACUUGGACUUGUCCGAUCAGAGUUCCCCCACACAUUGUAUGGUGUUGCAGGAACGCAGGCUGAUAAGGCUUCAAGGAAUUAUAUUGGCAUUUUUAAGCUUUCUAACAUAAGCGGGAAGAAACGGGAACCUAUACCAUCUUCAGCCAUUGAUGGUGACAGUGACACUGAUGUGGAUAGUGAGAGCAGCAGCGAUGGAGAAGAUGAAGAAACUAAUGAGGAUACAAAGCCCAUCCUACAUGUA